GAAAGUAAGUAAGGGCGUAUGGGGGAUGCCUAGGCUCUUGGAGGCUAAGAAGGACGUGGUAAGCUGCGAAAAGCUGCGGGGAUUUGCAAACGAGACUCGAUCCGCAGAUAUCCGAAUGGGACAACCCGGCAGGUAGAAGACCUGUCACACCGCGAGGUGAGCUAACCCUCUGAACUGAAACAUCUAAGUAGGAGGAGGAAAAGAAAGAAACAUCGAUUUCCAAAGUAGCGGCGAGCGAAAUGGAAGAAGCCCAAACCGAUAUUGUUACGGCAAUAUCGGGGUUGUAGGACUGCAAUAUUCAAUUAACAAUGAACUGGAAUGGUCUGGAAAGUCCAUCCAUAGAGAGUGAAAGGCUCGUACAGGUAAGUUUGUUAUGCGAAAGCAGUAUCCUGAGUAUGGCGGGACACGAGGAAUCCUGUCAGAAUCAGCCGGGACCACCCGGUAAGGCUAAAUACUCCCAAGAGACCGAUAGUGGACCAGUACUGUGAAGGAAAGGUGAAAAGAACCCCGAACAGGGGAGUGAAAUAGAACCUGAAACCAUACGCUUACAACCGGUCGGAGCAGUUUCGUGCUGUGACGGCGUGCCUAUUGAAUAAUGAGCCUACGAGUUACUAAUCACUAGCGAGGUUAAGUGCAAGGAUGCACGGAGCCGAAGCGAAAGCGAGUCUGAACAGGGCGUUUAGUUAGUGGUUGUAGACGCGAAACCUUGCGAUCUACCCUUGAGCAGGUUGAAGGUUGGGUAAAACCAACUGGAGGACCGAACGAAUAAGCGUUGAAAAGCUUCUCGAUGACUUGAGGGUAGGGGUGAAAGGCUAAUCAAGCUGGGAAAUAGCUCGUACUCCCCGAAAUGCCUUUUGGGGCAGCGUUGUAAUAAAGAGUCUACUGGAGGUAGAGCUACUGAUUGGAUGCGGGGGCUUCACCGCCUACCAAAUCCUGACAAACUCCGAAUGCCAGUAGUAUGAUUUACAGCAGUGAGUGACUGGGUGCUAAUGUCCAGUCGCAAAAGAGGAACAACUCAGACCAGCAACUAAGGUCCCGAAGAAUAUGCUAAGUUGAUCUAACGAUGUUUUGUUGCAGAGACAGCUAGGAUGUUAGCUUGGAAGCAGCUAUUCAUUCAAAGAGUGCGUAACAGCUCACUAGUCGAGCGACAGAGCGUGGAUAAUAAACGGGCAUCAAGCAUAUCACCGAAGUUCUGGGCGCGAGAGCGCGGUAGGGGAGCAUUCCAUUCAGCGUCGAAGCAGUUUCGUGAGGAAUUGUGGAGCGUAUGGAAAAGCAAAUGUAGGCAUGAGUAACGAUAAUGCGGGAGAGUAACCCGCACACCGCAAGACCAAGGUUUCCUGAUCAACGCUAAUCGGAUCAGGGUUAGUCGGGUCCUAAGGGUAAGCCGAACGGCGAUCUCGAUGGAUAAUCGGUUAAUAUUCCGAUACUAACAUAUACCUCGAUGGAGAGACGAAGGAACGUAAGUGCCGCCACCUGACGGAAUAGGUGGUUAAAGGGCGUAGAUAUAGGGGCAGAUUAAGAGUUAGUCCUUGCUGAAACCUGACAGUACAGAGAGCCUACGGGCAAUUUGAUAGAGCACCCAAGUCGACUUCCGAGAAAAUCUUCUAAGUUAUAGUAUAUGUUACCCGUACCGUAAACCGACACAGGUGGUCGAGGAGAGUAUCCUAAGGUGCUCGAGUGAAUCACGGUUAAGGAACUAGGCAAAUUAACCCCGUAACUUCGGGAAAAGGGGUCCCUAUGAAAGUAGGGCGCAGCGAAGAGGUCCAGGCGACUGUUUAUCAAAAACACAGGGCUCUGCAAAUUCGAAAGAAGACGUAUAGGGCCUGACACCUGCCCGGUGCUGGAAGGUUAAGAGGGGAUGUCAUCGCAAGAGAAGCAUUGAAUCGAAGCCCCAGUAAACGGCGGCCGUAACUAUAACGGUCCUAAGGUAGCGAAAUUCCUUGUCGGGUAAGUUCCGACCUGCACGAAUGGUGUAACGAUCUGGACACUGUCUCAACCGUGAGCUCGGUGAAAUUGUAGUCCCGGUGA
rnacentral:rRNA from 1 species